rnacentral:rRNA from 1 species
CCUACGGGUGGCAGCAGUGGGGAAUCUUGCACAAUGGGGGAAACCCUGAUGCAGCGACGCCGCGUGAGUGAGGAAGUAUUUCUGUAUGUAAAGCUCUAUUAGCAGGGAAGAAAAUGACGGUACCUGACUACUAACCCCCGGCUAACUACGUGCCAGCAGCCGCGGUCAUACGGAGGGGGCAAGCGUUCUCCGGAUUUACUGGGGGUAAAGGGAGCGUAGACGGGUAAUCAAGUCAGAAGUGAAAACCGAGGGCUCAACUUUGGGACUGCUUUUGAAACUGAGUAGCUAGAGUGCAGGAGAGGUAAGUGGAAUUCCUAGUGUAGCGGUGAAAUGCGUAGAUAUUAGGAGGAACACCAGUGGCGAAGGCGGCUUACUGGACUGUAACUGACGUUGAGGCUCGAAAGCGUGGGGAGCAAACAGGAUUAGAUACCCUGGUAGUC